UACGUAGGUGGCAAGCGUUGUCCGGAUUUACUGGGCGUAAAGGAUGCGUAGGCGGAUAUUUAAGUCAGAUGUGAAAUACCCGAGCCUAACUUGGGUGCUGCAUUUGAAACUGGGUGUCUAGAGUGCAGGAGAGGUAAGUGGAAUUCCUAGUGUAGCGGUGAAAUGCGUAGAGAUUAGGAAGAACACCAGUGGCGAAGGCGACUUACUGGACUGUAACUGACGCUGAGGCAUGAAAGCGUGGGGAGCAAACAGG
rnacentral:rRNA from 1 species